GGGUGCAGUGUGUGUGUGUGUGUGCUGUGAGUGUCAGCGGUGCAGUGUGUGUGUGUGCUGUGAGUGUCAGGGGUGCAGUGUGUGUGUGUGUGUGUGUCUGUAAGUGUCAGGGGUGCAGUGUGUGUGUGUGAGUGAGGGUGCUGUGUGAGUGUGUGUGUGUGUGUGCUGUGUGUCGUGGGUGCAGUGUGUGUGUGUGUGCUGUGAGUGUCAGGGGUGCAGUGUGUGUGUGUGUGCUGUGAGUGUCAGGGGUGCAGUGUGUGUGUGUGCUGUGAGUGU